UGGAGACUAGUUCCUUCAAGGAAAAGUAUAACAGGUUAGCGUACAUACAGAAAAAAUACUCCCCAUGCCCCCAUCCCCACUGCCACCCUGAAGUGGCCUCUGGCUGUUUACCCAGAUAGGUGUACUCCGUAAUAAAGGGAAUUCUCAAAGCUCCCUCUACAAGCAUAUGGGAGUCAGUGAGGCUGCACACAGAGGAGAAUUUUUGCCCACCUCAUGGUGGGCAGGUUCAAGCAAACAUGAAGGGAAGAAAGGAUGGGAAUCAAAGCACGGCCUGGCAGGAAUGUCUUGGUGACUUUGGGGAAGGGAAGAAAGGAUGGGAAUCAAAGCACGGCCUGGCAGGAAUGUCUUGGUGACUUUGGGGAAGGGAAGAAAGGAUGGGAAUCAAAGCACGGCCUGGCAGGAAUGUCUUGGUGACUUUGGGGAAGGGAAGAAAGGAUGGGAAUCAAAGCACGGCCUGGCAGGAAUGUCUUGGUGACUUUGGGCGAAUCCUCUUGGGGAAAAUGUGUAUGUCCCUUCCAGAUAGGGCAAAACCUAGUACGUCCCUUUCUGUGGGCUAUUUGGGGUCAGGCACUUCCCUAGGAAAAAUAAGGCCCGCCCAAAUCAGUAUUGGGUACAAGGGUCGUAAGGGACCAAGGAGGAGUCAUUAGUAGUAUUUCCUAUUCUGCCUAGGAAUCCUCGUUCACGCUCCUGCGGCCUAUGUCAAGGGUCUUCUAGUGCCCGAGAAAAAUCUAGGGCUCUUUCUCAACUUCUGCCGCCCUCUUGG
rnacentral:lncRNA from 1 species